rnacentral:rRNA from 1 species
GUGCAGCAGACGAGAAUACUUUACAAUGUGCGAAAGCACGAUAAGGGAACUCUGAGUGCCUCCUAAGGAGGCUGUUCAGGUGUCUAAAAAGCACCUGGAGUAAGGGCUGGGUAAGACCGGUGCCAGCCGCCGCGGUAACACCGGCAGCCCAGGUGGUAGCCACUUUUAUUGGGUCUAAAGCGUCCGUAGCCGGUUGAGUAAGUUCCUUGGGAAAUUUGGCUGCUCAACAGUCAAGCUUCCAGGGAAUACUGCUCGACUUGGGGACUGGGGAGAGGUCAGAGGUACUCCAGGGGUAGGGUGAAAAUCCAUUAAUCCCUGGGGGACCACCGGUAGCGAAGGCGUCUGACCAGACCAGGUCCGACGGUGAGGGACGAAGGCUAGGGUCGCGAACCGGAUUAGAUA